rnacentral:rRNA from 1 species
CCUACGGGCGGCUGCAGUGGGGAAUAUUGGACAAUGGGGGGAACCCUGAUCCAGCCAUGCCGCGUGUGUGAAGAAGGCCCUCGGGUUGUAAAGCACUUUCAGUGAGGAAGAACGCCUGGUGGUUAAUACCCAUCAGGAAAGACAUCACUCACAGAAGAAGCACCGGCUAACUCCGUGCCAGCAGCCGCGGUAAUACGGAGGGUGCGAGCGUUAAUCGGAAUUACUGGGCGUAAAGCGCGCGUAGGUGGCUUGAUAAGCCGGUUGUGAAAGCCCCGGGCUCAACCUGGGAACGGCAUCCGGAACUGUCAAGCUAGAGUGCAGCAGAGGAAGGUAGAAUUCCCGGUGUAGCGGUGAAAUGCGUAGAGAUCGGGAGGAAUACCAGUGGCGAAGGCGGCCUUCUGGACUGACACUGACACUGAGGUGCGAAAGCGUGGGUAGCAAACAGGAUUAGAUACCCUGGUAGUC